GAGCUUCCGGGCGCGGAGCGGUGGGGAGAGCCCCGCUUUGUUCCCGAUCCGCUGGGUCGGAUGGAAACCACCCCAGGCCGUGGGGGGCGGCCUUCUCCCCGUGGAGGACGGACGGCGACACACAAGCCAGCUAGGGCCACCUCCGUUGCUUCUGCUGCCGUGACUUAAGGUGUCUGCCGCUGAGUGACCCAAGGCGUGCAGUCAAGGGACUUGGGACCCAGACACAGCUGUGCCCCAUGGGAGAAUCUUGACCUAGGGCACGUGGGGCAGGAGAGGCUCACGGUCGAAAACAGAGCUUCCUUGAUUGGCUCGCACCCUCCAAGCUCUGCUGGAGCCCCCUGAGCCUGUAGAGUUUGUAAACUUGAAAAGAAGGAGUUUGGCAACAUGCAUCACAUCACCCUUGAUGCCAGAAGCCCUCUGUAGGACACAGGAACUUUAUGAAGACCCCCCAGCCUGGCUUCUAUCCUGGUAUCUCAUACCCCCCAAAUCCAUUAUUUAUUCAAGAAAUAUUUAUUGAACGCUCAUUACGUGACAGAUACUAUUGUAAGAACAAAACAGAUCCCUGCCAAGACUUCCCUGGUGGCACAGUGGUUAAAAAUCCGCCUGCCAAUGCAGGGCACGUGGGUUCGAUCCCUGGUCCGGGAAGAACCCACAUGCUGUGGAGCAACUAAGCCCGUGAGCCACAACUACUGAGCCCAUGUGCCACGACUACUGAAGCCCGUGCGCCUGGAGCCCACGCUCAGCAACAAGAGAAGUCACUGCAAUGAGAAGCCCGCGCACCGCAAGGAAGAGUA